CUCAGCCUCCCAAGUAGCUGGGACUACAGGCGCCCACCACCAUGCCCGGCUAAUUUUUUUGUAUUUUUAGUAGAGACAGGGUUUCACCAUGUUAGCCAGGAUGGUCUCGAUCUCAUGACUUCGUGAUCUGCCCACCUCGACCUCCCAAAGUGCUGGGAUUGCAGGUGUGAGCCACCGCGCCCAGCAUUUUUUUUUUUUUUUUUGAGAUGGAGUCUCACACUAUUGCCUGGGCUGGAGUGCAGUGGUGCCAUCUUGGCUCACUGUGACCUGUGCCUCCUAGGUUCAAGCGAUUCUCCUAUCUCAGCCUCCUGAGUAGCUGGGAUUACAGAUGCCAGCCACCACGCCUAGCUAAUUUUUGUAUUUUUAGUAGAGAUGGGGUUUCAUCAUGUUGGCCAGGCUGGUCUCGAACCCCUGACCUCAGGUGAUCCACCUGUCUUGGCCUCCCAAAGUGCUGGGAUUAUAGGUGUGAGCUGCUAUAUAUUUCUUGGCACUUUCAGUAAUAGAGGCUGUUAAGCCACAACACCUCAAGGGCUGGGCCAGUUCAAGGACCGAUGAGAAUGCAGACAGGAACUCAGAUAAGGGUACUGUACUUUCUUGUUGGUUUACUAUGGAACCAGCACACAGGCAGGAUAAAUAUGAGAUUAAGAACACAUGAUGUUAAAAUAGAUGUGGCUACUAGGGCCUCCCAUUUCCCUGACAGAGGCACACCUCAAGGCUGGGGCCUGUGCAGUGAGAAAUCCACCAGCAGAAUGAAGCCUAGAACCUUGGUCCACUGUCUUUUAGGCUAGGGGAAGAGGGGAGAAGUGCCUACAUUAGUCCAUGCCCAAGUUUGGGGAUCCUAUUUUCUUGUCCCACCACAAUACAUAUAACUUCCUUGCUAAUACAAUAUUUUUCUUUCAUUGACAUUGGGCCUACUUAAGAAGUCAGUGCAGGCCGGAUGUGGUGGCUCACGCCUGUAAUCUCAGCACUUUGGGAGGCCGAGGUGGGCAGAUUACUUCUAAGGUCAGGAGUUCAAGACCAGCCUGGCCAACACGGUGAAAACCCAUCUCUACUAAAAGUACAAGAAUUAGCCAGGUGUGGUGGUGUGCACCUGUAGUCUCAGCUACUCAGGAGGCUGAGGCAGGAGAAUCGCUUGACCCCGGGAGGCAGAGGCUGCAGUGAGCCGAGAUCGUGCCACUGUACUCCAGCCUAGGCAACAGAGCCAGGCUUGGUUUCAAAAAAAAAAAAAAAAGUCAGUUCAGUAACUGGCCAUCACUAACCAGAAAGACAGUCAGUAAAAGCUUAACAGAACACACAGUAAAGAAUUCAGUGGGUCCAGUGCAGUGGCUCACGCCUGUAAUCCCAGCACUUUGGGAGGCCAAGGCGGGCAGAUCACGAGGUCAACAGAUCAAGACCAUCCUGGCCAACAUGGUGAAACCCCAUCUCUACUAAAAAUACAAAAAUUAGCUGGGUGUGGUGGCGCGUGCCUGUGAUCCCAGCUACUCAGGAGGCUGAGGCAGGAGAACUGCUUGACCCCGGGAGGCUGCAGUGACCUGAGAUCACACCACUGCACCCCAGCCUGGCGACAAAGCUAGACCCUGUCUCAAAAAAAAAAAAAAAAGUAUUCAGUAACACUGGAUGACUAAUGAAAAUCCUGGAAAAAUUUAACUAGCUGGUAAAACCUAAUAGAAAUAAAGUGUUAAAGACCUAAGUGAUUUCUAGGCUUUUCUUCCAACUCAAUCAUUAAUCUGCUAAAUGUUUCUUUUAUACCUUCGAUCUUUAUUUUUAUACGAGAACUCUCUUUUCACCCCCGUAAGCACAGGCAACUGAUUCUCCA
rnacentral:lncRNA from 1 species